CUGCUUUCUCUUUCUUUUAAACCCUUUAACAGAACCAUUCACAUUGGGAAUACCAUGAUUUGCGUUCCACCGUCCCUCGUUCUCUUCCUGUUCAGUGGUGCAGCUGCUGUGGGAAGACGUGGACUGGUUAAUCCAUAAGCAGAGAGCAUCAGGCUCUUGGAUCCCUGGGAACCAGCUGCCUCCCUCACUCUCAGGGUCCCCGUUUUCCAUCUGGCCUUCCUUGGGCUUUGAACAAGGCAUCAAAGGCCCUUGGAAGAGCACUAGUCAGUGGCGGGGGUCUUAGAACCCACAGUUCUCCUCCUCUGGGGAGGUGGUCGAUUGAGUAGAUACCUUCUGGUGCCUGUGGGCCCCAUCGAAAGCCCCCAGUGCCAUUUGCUACAUGAGGUCACUGUACUGAGAGUGACAGAGUAAUAUACAGGAGCAGUGUGGGCAGCCAGAGAGUCUGGGUGUAAACUCAGUUUGGAUACAGAUAUGGAGGUGGAAGAGUGUUCUGGCCUCAUGGAUGCCUCCAGCUGCUACAGCCAUUGCUGGCCUCUUCCUUGCAGCGGCCGUGGAGCCCUCCCAGCAGUGCUGUCGAAGCAAUCACACUGCCUCAUCUUGUGCUCACUCUUUCCCCUUAGACACAUCUGACCUUCGGGAAGGAGUUCACAGAAGCGGUGGAAGCCAAACAGGUGGCUCAGCAGGAAGCAGAGAGGGCCAGAUUUGUGGUGGAAAAGGCUGAGCAACAGAAAAAGGCGGCCAUCAUCUCUGCUGAGGGCGACUCCAAGGCAGCUGAGCUGAUUGCCAACUCACUGGCCACUGCAGGGGAUGGCCUGAUCGAGCUGCGCAAGCUGGAAGCUGCGGAGGACAUCGC
rnacentral:sRNA from 1 species